GAUGAACGCUGGCGGCGUGCCUAAUACAUGCAAGUCGAGCGAACAGACGAGGAGCUUGCUCCUCUGACGUUAGCGGCGGACGGGUGAGUAACACGUGGAUAACCUACCUAUAAGACUGGGAUAACUUCGGGAAACCGGAGCUAAUACCGGAUAAUAUAUUGAACCGCAUGGUUCAAUAGUGAAAGACGGUUUUGCUGUCACUACUAGAUGGUUCCGCGCCGCAUUAGCUAGUUGGUAAGGUAACGGCUUACCAAGGCAACGAUGCGUAGCCGACCUGAGAGGGUGAUCGGCCACACUGGAACUGAGACACGGUCCAGACUCCUACGGGAGGCAGCAGUAGGGAAUCUUCCGCAAUGGGCGAAAGCCUGACGGAGCAACGCCGCGUGAGUGAUGAAGGUCUUCGGAUCGUAAAACUCUGUUAUUAGGGAAGAACAAAUGUGUAAGUAACUAUGCACGUCUUGACGGUACCUAAUCAGAAAGCCACGGCUAACUACGUG
rnacentral:rRNA from 1 species